UAAGGAGAAGCGAACAAAAUCAAAAAGAGGAUUUCACGGUCUAGUAGGCCUGCUAUGGCCACCCGUAGCACCUGCUACUGGACGUAGCAAGAAUCCAUGAAGACACAUAAAACACAAUCCAAACAAUGACCUACUACGGCCACCCGUAGCACCGGCUACGGGCCGUAGUAUGGGGGGUCUGGCACAGAAGAGAACUUUCAAAAAAAUAAUGGCCUGCUACGGCCACCCGCAACACCUGC
rnacentral:lncRNA from 1 species